rnacentral:rRNA from 1 species
AUGCACGCUGGCGGCGUGCCUAAUACAUGCAAGUCGAGCGAACAGACGAGGAGCUUGCUCCUCUGACGUUAGCGGCGGACGGGUGAGUAACACGUGGAUAACCUACCUAUAAGACUGGGAUAACUUCGGGAAACCGGAGCUAAUACCGGAUAAUAUAUUGAACCGCAUGGUUCAAUAGUGAAAGACGGUUUUGCUGUCACUUAUAGAUGGAUCCGCGCCGCAUUAGCUAGUUGGUAAGGUAACGGCUUACCAAGGCAACGAUGCGUAGCCGACCUGAGAGGGUGGUCGGCCACACUGGAACUGAGACACGGUCCAGACUCCUACGGGAGGCAGCAGUAGGGAAUCUUCCGCAAUGGGCGAAAGCCUGACGGAGCAACGCCGCGUGAGUGAUGAAGGUCUUCGGAUCGUAAAACUCUGUUAUUAGGGAAGAACAAAUGUGUAAGUAACUAUGCACGUCUUGACGGUACCUAAUCAGAAAGCCACGGCUAACUACGUG